CGGCAGUAUCUCGUUGAAACACCGGUUCCCGUACCAUCACCGAAGUUAAGCAACGGUGAUCCUGGUCAGUAUCUACAUAGGUGAUCGCUUGGAAUUACCAGGUGCUGUAAG